CCUGUUUAUACAGCUAAAAAGUGUGCCUGUCAGUCCAGAUCAGAGUCAGUCGGCGAUACAGUCACAAACCUGUCAGAGUCAGCUGCACUGUCGUUUAAAGCCUCUUCACAGAGCAUCUCGAAGGCUUCUGAUGUUUGUAACGUUGCAAGUGCUCAGUGAAGCCCUCUUCAAACACAGCCAUUGACUGAGAAACACCAUGAGAAGAGCAAAGAACUGGGGAGAAGUGGACAUACUUGAGCAAACACUGCAAAAGGGAUGAGAUAUUUUGGAGCUGCUAGGUUGAAACAUUUGACUACAUCACAGGCAGCAGAUGAGGACAAAUUUUUGACUUUUCUGCAAACCUGUGGGUUUUGACUGCAACUGAAGAUGAAUGUCUCAGUGUAUAAGGAGAUGAGAAAUCUUAGAAACACCAACAGAAUACCAAAAAUGCUGCAAGGAAAUGAAGCUGAUUCAGUUCUUGCCUUAUUUAGUAAUCAAAGAAGUUGCUUUUGGUAGCUUGCUUGUGAAAAAGUCUUUGUCAUUUUGUUCCAGAAAUUAGCAACUUUAUUUGAAAUCAGGAUGCCAAAACCAUGCAGGGAAUGAGACAACUGUAAAAACUGUAUUUUAGGACUGAUUAGGGGUGCCCAAGCCCCUAGCUUUGGCAAGGUUCGAUCAGAGCCACCAGCCUGUGCCCGUAGGUCCUAUAAAUAGAGAAAUCCAGCUAGGCACUGGUGGGAUUUCUGAAGAGUGCCCAAGAAAGUGCUAUUACAUCCAUAGUGGUUGAGUUGAACAGGUUUGUGUCAUGGCAGGCAAGUCAUCCUGCAGAGGAUAAUUACAAGGAUUAUAUAGUGGUAUAGAAGGAGUCUGCAUGAUGAGUGAGCUUUUGGAAAUAUCUGGGAGCUAUUUCCAGCAUGACAGAUACAAAGUUAUUUGAGCUUGCUAGACAGAAAAUUCCUUUUUUAAUCCAUCAUAUGAAUAGGCUAGGUUGUUUCUAGAGAUGGUGCCUAGAUUUCUGUUUAGAGACAAGUUUCUGGACUCUACAGAGGGGCAGAUUUUCCCUGUAAGCUCAGGAUGGAUGUAGACUUUCUGUUUAGGAUGAGAGAUCCUGAAGCAGAGCACUGCUCCAUGCUGAAUCCCAUUCAAAGAUUCACAGUCAUCCAAGUCCUGUGGCCAGCUCCAAAGGGGAAGAGGGGGAAGAAAAGACACCAAGACCUGCCUGGCAGAAGGCUCUCUGCUCACUGAUAGGGUUUGGCUGCAGAAGGAAAACCUGCUCACUACCAGUAUAAAAAUGUUAUUAGGAAUUUCUUCUGGACUUCAGUGCUGGCAUUCCAGUGCCCAACAGGCAUGAGAGAACAAAGAUUCUCCAUAUGCUAUACAUCAUAAUGCAUAAUGUGUUUGUCCAUUUUCCCCAAAAAUUCUUUAGAAAGGCCAGAGAGAAUUAAAAAAAUCCAGA